UGAGUCGUUAUACAUAUAGAUAGAGUCGAACGGAGAAAAUGAAAAAUAGCCGUUCGAAUUUCGAAGAGCGUUUGGGUCUUCUUCUUCUCUCGCUUCAUGAACAGAACAUGUUUCGGGAUAAAACCCUAAAUUUCCGCUGCUCUCGCUUCUAUGGACGCAUCCUCCGAUAAGUAAGAUCAUUUGUUCAUGUGUCUUCUGGGAAUCUUUGGUACCAAAACAAGUCAGUUUUAUGUCUUUAUUAUUUAUUUAUUCAAGGUAUAUCCUCUUCUUCUUGUUGGUCUUUUGAGUUUGUUUCUACAGAUUGAUGUUGUGUCUCUUUUCUUUUGCAGCUCAUCUCAGAAACCAGAGAAUGGUAUAUAGGUUUUGCAUACUUGAUUUCACAAUUCACUCUUACUUAAAUGUUUCAUUGUUUAUCUACUUUCAUUCUUUGUCUGCUUUUGUUUUGGUUACUAACUUCCUUUGUACUUACUUUCUUUCUUCCUUACUUUCUUACUUGCCUACUUAUUUUUUUAGUCAUGGCUUAGUUGCGAGCUUCCUUACUUUCUUUCUUCUUUGGUUACAUGCGUGUAUUUGCUUCCUUCCUUUCCUUUCCUUGGUUGUAUGCUUUAUUUUCUUCCUUGAUUUCUCUGUUUCUUGCUGAGUUGUGUGCUUUAUUACUUGUUCCUUGAGAUUCGUAAUAUAUUUGCUUGCUUGCUUCCUCACUUUCUUUCUUGCUUGCUUCCGUUUUUUUUAUUUUUGUAAUUCAUUGCUCAGUUGCUAUGCUUUCAUUCCUUGGUUCCUUGUGUGCUUGCUUUUCAUUCCUUGGUUCCUUGUGUGCUUGCUUUCUUUUCUUGUUCUCUUCCUUGAUUACUUGUUCUUUGCUGAGUUGUGUGCUUCAUUACUUGCUUCCUUGAUUCCUUGAUUUGCUGAAUAUUUUCUUACUUGUUUCCUUACUUAUUUUGCUUACUUUCUUCCUUGAGUAUUUCCUUUUUUUCUUACUUGCUUAAUUGUUAUUUUGUGACUUAUUUAAGUUUUUCUUACUUCCAUACUCAUAACUAACUCUCUAGAUUGAUUUCUCAUUGUAUUAGAGAGUUUUAGGUUACUACUUGAAAACAAUAUACAGAUGGAGACUCUUGAACAUCUAUUAUUAAGGGAAAGUCCUCAUCGUCAUCAAUGUCAUUGCCACAUGGACCAUCCGUUUUACAGUGAUUGAGAUUUUGGCGUUUACUUGCAACCAACUUCUGAACCAAGAGCCUCAUAAAUUCUCUGGCACCAACCAGUUCCUCUUUUCUUAUAAAUGCUCUGCCGAGCAAGCUCACUCCACAAUUCUCAAGCAAAGCUAGUCCGAUGGCAGAAAAUUUGAAGACAUGUUGACUCACUUACAAAGAAAACAACUACAUCAGGUGAAAUUUAGUUGAGCAAAAAACUGCAGAAUGAAAGUUUUACAAGACUGAAUAGAUCGUCUAUCCAUGGUGACAACUUGUUUACACUAUGACUAUACUAAAUCAGAUAAGGUAUACUUGCUUCGCAAAUUACACAUACCGCUCAAUGCAGAGAGUAUACACUAAGUGUAGACAUCUUCUUGCUCGAAAGACUGUAAAGAGAAAGGUGACAUCAAUUUCGACAUGCUACAAGACAGAUAUAAGUCAUCUAGAAGGAUCUGGUCACCUAUAUAUCCUUUUUGUAUCUAUAUCGUGUUCAUAGUGGUGAUGAUAGUGGGUCAUCUCAGAGGAUCUAGCCAAUAUGCAUCUGGUGUUAUGGUCCAAGCUUUGGUGGUGGUGGUGAUGGUAAGAUCAUUUCUGAAAAUUCUUGAAAAUGAACGUUUACGCUCUUAAGAGAGAUGUUCGUGUAACUGAAGAUGUACAUAAAAUCCAAAUGAAUUGCAUAAAGCUGGUAUAUUGGGUAUCUUUCGAUUAAUCAAAGUUGAUGCUACUAUUGGAACUUGUAGCGUAAAGAUCCCCACUAUGUGUAGAUCUCAAAACAAGACAGCUGAAGUAAAGGAGAAAAGUCAAGAGUUGGAGCAUGAAAUCAAUUUGUGGAAAGAUCAAAAUGUUUGGCGGACAACUUCUAGUUUCUUAUGUAUAAUUCUUCUUCCAGUAUCAGGUGAUUCAGAUUUCAAAGCCAAUGUAGCUAAGUCGUAAACGAAAAAGUUUCACAUGGAUACUACGACCGGAUUACGCUAUUGACGGAAAUGAAGAUUGAGAUUUUGGCGUUUACUUGCAACCAACUUCUGAACCAAGAGCCUCAUAAAUUCUCUGGCACCAAACCAGUUCCUCUUUUCUUAUAAAUGCUCUGCCGUGCAAGCUCACUCCACAAUUCUCAAGCAAAGCUAGUUCGAUGGCAGAAAAUUUGAAGACAUGUUGACUCACUUACAAAGAAAACAACUACAUCAGGUGAAAUUUAGUUGAGCAAAAAAAUGCAGAGGUUAAAUCGGUGAGAUGUUCCUAAGAAAGAAAGUUUUACAAGACUGAAUAGAUCGUCUAUCCAUGGUGACAACUUGUUUACACUACGACUAUACUAAAUCAGAAAAGGUAUACUUGCUUCGCAAAUUGCACAUACCACUCAUUGCAGAGAGUAUACACUAAGUGUAUAAAAUCAGGACAUCUUUUUGCUCGAAAGUAUUACUUGAGUACAUCUUCAAAUUAAUCAGCGACACUAUCAUAGUAUUUUCUCAAACUGUUUCAGGACUGUAAAGGGAAAGGUGACAUAAAUUUCGACAUGCUACAAGACAGUUACAAGUCAUCUAGAAGAAUCUGGUCACCUAUAUAUCCUUUUUGUAUCUAUAUCAUAAAUAAUGUCUUCGAGACUUUGUCACAACGUCAUUUGCAUAUCGAAACUAAAGUUAUUGUUCUUUCUCAUAUUUGGUGUUCAUAUGUCCAAACUUUGGUGAUGAUAGUGGGUCAUCUCAGAGGAUCUAGCCACAUAUGCAUCUGCUUUGGUGGUGGUGGUGAUGGUAAGAUCAUUUCUGAAAAUUCUUGAAAAUGAACGUUUACGCUCUUAAGAGAGAUGUUCGUGUAACUGAAGAUGUACAUAAAAUCCAAAUGAAUUGCAUAAAGCUGGUAUAUUGGGUACGAUUGUGAACGUGUAAAGAUCCCCACUAUGUGUAGAUCUCAAAACAAGACAGCUGAAGUAAAGGAGAAAAGUCAAGAGUUGGAGCAUGAAAUCAAUUUGUGGAAAGAUCAAAAUGUUUGGCGGACAACAUCUAGUUUCUUAUGUUUAAUUCUUCUUCCAGUAUCAGGUGAUUCAGAUUUCAAAGCCAAUGUAGCUAAGUCGUAAACGAAAAAGUUUCACAUGGAUACUACGACCGGAUUACGCUAUUGAGGGAAAUGAAGUGAGUGUCAAAUACUUUAACAAUAUCCUCCUUCAAUACCUUCGAUAGUGGUGAUCUCGGUCAAUCUGUUGAAUCUCUGGACAUAUUGCAUUCAUUCAUUCAUACGCGCAUACGGCAUACAUAUUCAUGCAUACACGCAUACAUAUUCAUGCAUACACGCAUACAUAUUCUUGCAUACACGCAUGCAUAUUCAUGCAGAUUUGCUUCUUUGAAUAUUUUUCUUUGUUCAUUGCUUCUUUGCAUAUGUGAUUAUUUGUUAACUUGUUUGUUCUUUCCUUCUUUUACUUACUUCGUUACUUUCUUCUUUCCUUGAUUGCUUGUUUUUGAUAAUCCAGUGUCCAGACCACACUGUGAUCCGACUAGCCCACUGGGCCUAAGCCCGCGUUCCUUGGAUUUUUAAGCCUCCACUUAAGGGCCCCUUGGAUCUGGUGGUCUGGGACGCUGCGCCCCGUAGGUAAAUUGCGCAGUGGCCGGGACUCGAAGCCGGGUGGCGGGUGCCUCAGCCGAGGUUCCUAUACCACCAGGAGACAAGCACCCGGUUUUGAUUGCUUGUUUACACUUUACAUGCUUGACUUGUUUAAUUAAUUCCUUACUUUCUUCUAUGAAUUGCUUGUUCUUUGCUUUUUUGAUUUCCCUGUUUAGUGCAUUGCUUGCUUCUCUGCUUCGUCGAUCUCUCUGUUUAGUUCAUUUCUCGCGUCUUUGCUUCUCUGAUGUUGAACUUGUAUAUACUCGUUUAACUUGCUUAUUUCUUUACUGCUUACUUGAUUUGAUUGUGCGUGUCUAACAUGGAUUGAAGUAUUUAUUACAUGUUUUGUUCUUGUUAAUUUAUUGUUAACUUAUUCACACACUUACUGACCUACUACUGUCCAACAUGAUUUUUAAAUUUCAUCUAAUCUUAAAAUAUUUAUUGCGAUUAGCAUUGUUAUAAUCAUUGUUAUAAAUAUUUUUUUAUGAUUACUUGAAUAUUUUCAGCAGUAGAGACUUGAGAGAUUAUGCAGGAUAAUAAAUUUGUAAUGUGAUGUAUGAAUUUCUCGACUCGAUGAUAUUAUGUAAGAAUGAUUAUUUGUUUUAUAUGAAAUAAAUAAGAUUUAUGA